CGGUGGUACUCGAGCGGCGAACGGGUGAGUAACACGUGAGUAAUCUGCCCUUGGCUUUGGGAUAGCCACCGGAAACGGUGAUUAAUACCGGAUACGACCACUUCUCGCAUGGGAUGGUGGUGGAAAGUUUUUCGGCCAGGGAUGUGCUCGCGGCCUAUCAGCUUGAUGGUGAGGUAAUGGCUCACCAUGGCUUCGACGGGUAGCCGGCCUGAGAGGGUGACCGGUCACACUGGGACUGAGACACGGCCCAGACUCCUACGGGAGGCAGCAGUGGGGAAUAUUGGACAAUGGGCGGAAGCCUGAUCCAGCAACGCCGCGUGAGGGAUGACGGCCUUCGGGUUGUAAACCUCUUUCGGUGGGGACGAAGCGCAAGUGACGGUACCCACUAAAGAAGCACCGGCCAACUACGUGCCAGCAGCCGCGGUAAUACGUAGGGUGCGAGCGUUGUCCGGAAUUAUUGGGCGUAAAGGGCUCGUAGGCGGUUUGUCGCGUCGGGAGUGAAAACCAGGUGCUUAACACCUGGCUUGCUUUCGAUACGGGCAGACUAGAGGUAUUCAGGGGAGAACGGAAUUCCUGGUGUAGCGGUGAAAUGCGCAGAUAUCAGGAGGAACACCGGUGGCGAAGGCGGUUCUCUGGGAAUGACCUGACGCUGA
rnacentral:rRNA from 1 species